UCCUGAGUAAACUGCUUGCAAGAAGAGCUCCGGUGUUGCAUCUUCCUUGUUGGUCGAGGCGGUCGCACAAGUGGUGGCCCGUAUGGAGAUUCUCAUCUCCUCUCCCUGGAGCCCAGAACUUGCAGCAGUCAGGGGGUGCACCGGUAAGUCCUCAAGCAAAGACAGUGAAAGAUUUGCCUUUACCUUACCAUCAGUCAACCAUGAGGAACCUGAUAAAAGAUAUCAAUGGAUUAUCCUACCUCAAGGAUCAUUUGGACCCUAUUUGGGUACUGGAGUGCUUGGUGAGAAAAGUACAAGUGCAGAGGAACGACAAGCAAGAUGAAGCCUCAGACUGUGAUCCUACUGAUGGUGACGGUCCUGAUGUUCCCGUUGUAACAAGAGCUCCUUGCUAAGAGAAAUAACCCAGUUCCCAUAAUUUGCAGGUCAGUCUUCAAUCACCUCCUGGCUGUAAUCAGAUCCCAGAAACAACCCCUUCCAUCAAAGCUGAGCACUGUAGAGAUGUCCCCCACCGUGGCUGGCAGGCCACCAAGACCUGCUGUUCACCAACAGAUGAAGACAGGCAGGAAACUGUCCCAAACUGUUGUUCCUAUAACUGGUGGCUUGUUCUUUUGAAUGACAUCUGAAACAACCCCUGGAGUUCACACACAACUUUGGAAUGUUUCCCAAGCAAAACUCAAUAGCAUCCUCACAGUGCCCAUUUUGGUAUUCUUUCUAAAUUUUUUAAUCUUUGCUUUUAUGUGCAUAGGUGUUUGCCUCUAUGUAUUUCUGUGCAUCGAUGUUGUCUUCAGAGUUCAGAAAAUUCCACUGGGACUGGAACUUCAAAUGGCUGUGAGCCACCAUGUGGGUGUAGGGGUUUGAACUCAGAUCCUGUGGAAGAGCAACCAGUGCUCUUAACCACUGAACCAUCUCUCCUGCCCUGUCAGUCUUGUUUAUUCAAACCUUCUCCCGCCUUGCUUCUAAACUCUCUCUCCUGCAUCCAACACACACAGCUUUCCCAUACUUUUCUACAUCCACUCUGGAACUCCACAGCCUGUCUUCCACUGGAGCAGAAGGUUCCCAGUAGGGAUGAUGUGAGGAUCGCUUCCCUUGAAAAAACUCUGUCCAUAAGUGGUUCCUACUUGGCUUCACAUGGGACAAAUACCUCUGAGUCACCUUCAGAUAUUCCCAUGGGCCUACAUCCAGCCAUGACCACCACGGGAAAAAAAUCCUUAGCCAGGAUGGAAAACCCUUACUGACAGUGCAACUCUUCCUUCAGAUUUUGUCAGGGAGCCUAGCCAGAGGUCAAGAGUAGGAUCAGAGUUCCUCUGGCUAGGUCAGCUUUCUUCAACAAAGACUGGUUUUCACUUGACUGUUCAUAUACACAGAUGGGCAGCUCAAUCCCUGUCACAUCAAUAUGCCCAAACGCAAGAGUAAGAUCUAGUAAAGUAUUUGCCAACCUCUGAAUUCAGCAAGAAAAUGUAGAGCUGCAGCAUGCUGUUACCAGCAUGGUCAUGUUGUAAGCUGUGGAUUUUCUAAACAGAAACCUUGACGUACUACAACAACAAUAAAACUCAGAUCAGUCUAGCGUCCCUUCCUGUAUGCAAUGAGUGGCUUAGUCUCCAAGGAAGGAGGAUUUCUCAUGCAUUUUAUUAUCUAAAAGAAGCCUGGAGUAAAAAUUCAGUUCCUAAAAUGUCAUGUGAUCAUUCCCUGGGCAUUACAGAGAAGCAGCCACGUCCUUGGCAGUUCGUAGGCCCAGCACGCACCCUAUGUAAUGCACAGCUCUGGACCACAUACCUGCAGGUGAAACAGCAUCUUGGGAGGAGUAACCUGUGGCUGGAGGCUUAGAGAUGGUGGUGAUGAGCCAUAUCCAGCACAUCUCCAGAGUAGGUAGAUGCCACACUAUGGCCCAGGGUCAAAUGGCAACACCCUAAAACAUGCCCUAGACACAGUGUGUGCCUGGAAGCUUGAUAAAGAACCAACUUCUAUGUUCCCCCAACCCAAAGCCCUUCCCCUAAAGAAAUCAAAGAGAAAGAGCCAUAAAAACUGCAUUUUAAUGAUACAGAAAUAGUGCAUAGUAUAUUUCUUUCCACAGCAGUACUUCAUUUGUCUCUAAGUUUAACAAAAUUAAGGCUACAUUGGAGCAUACUGACAGAAAAGGGACUGUUUUAUACAAUGUUAUUCAUGUUUUCAUAAACAAAAGAAGAUUCUUCAGGCAAAAUUUUUUAACAAGAUACCAGUAAAGGAAAUGGAAUACAAAAUGUGUUCCUUUGGGUCAGCCUGAUAAUAAUAACCACACACCCCCAGGGAGUAUCCGUGGGAUUUUUUUAAUGAAUACUUCGAGGAUGAGGACGACUCUCCAGAGAUAACAUUCCACAGUACAAGGCUACUUCAUAAUUUAAAACCAAAGACAGUUGUGUCUCCAGUAUAAUCCCUUUAGAAUAAAUAACUAGUGAACAUCAACAGUAUUUAAAAACACAAGAGAACUGUGCAGAGGCCAAUGGUGCCUGGAAGGAUAAUCCCUACAUCAAUAGCCCUUCUCCCUCAAAUCUGUUAGGAAGAAAUGAGAACUAAAAUAUGAUGGCACAAAACUAUCCCCAAUAUUCCCACUAUUCACUCCUCCUGGCCAUCUCUGCUGCUCAGUUUGUCACCGCAUUUGGACCCAAGAGAAACCCUUUAGGAUUUAGAAUAAGACAAAGCAAAGACCCUCAACAACUCCAGCCAGUCCACCGCCUAAUGAGACAACCGUCAGAAGCUUACACAGGAGCCUAAUUCCUUGCCAGGAAGUCACUUUGACAUCAUUGAUUAGAGGGCCAAGGCCCGAAGCCACAGAAGUUUGCCUUCACACAAGUCCUGUCCUCUGCUAUGACAGGUAGUUCACGGCCUCCUCAGGCCCCUUUCUGCUCACCACUUUCACCACUACAUCCUCUUCUCCACCUAUCCCAGCUGCAUUAGGACACUAAACAACUAUCUCCCCGAUGAAGAAUUGGGGGUGGUGCUGGAAUCCCCAAGCCCAAGGAGGGCAGUCUUGUUUUUAAACAGAGGUCUCAUGACCUACCUGCUCUGAGAAGGAUAGCCUACUUACGACAUGAAGACCUGUCAUCUGGUAGUAUGGGGGUGCAGGCAAAAUCUUCCCAGAAGUUAAAUGUUUACAUUAUUAAGUAGUAG